rnacentral:rRNA from 1 species
CAGUAGCCGCGGUAAUACGUAGGGCGCAAGCGUUAUCCGGAAUUAUUGGGCGUAAAGAGCUCGUAGGCGGUUUGUCGCGUCUGCCGUGAAAGUCCGGGGCUCAACUCCGGAUCUGCGGUGGGUACGGGCAGACUAGAGUGAUGUAGGGGAGACUGGAAUUCCUGGUGUAGCGGUGAAAUGCGCAGAUAUCAGGAGGAACACCGAUGGCGAAGGCAGGUCUCUGGGCAUUAACUGACGCUGAGGAGCGAAAGCAUGGGGAGCGAACAGGAUUAGAUACCCCAGUAGUCCCUGUCUCUUAUAC